rnacentral:rRNA from 1 species
UUUUUUAAUUGAAAACUUGUAUGAAGGGUUUAACGAAAUAUUAACUGUUUCAUAAAAAUUUAUAUAGAAAUUAAUUUUUUAGUUAAAAAGCUAAAAUAAUUUUAAGGGACGAGAAGACCCUAUAGAGUUUAAUAUUAUUUUAAUUAUAAUUUAUUUAUAAUAAUAAAAAUUUUAUUUAAAAUAAUAUUUUGUUGGGGUGACAGUAAAAUUUUUUUAUCUUUUAUUAUUAUUUAUCAAUGAUUUUUGAGUAAUUGAUCCAUUUUUAGUGAUUAAAAGAUUAAAUUACCUUAGGGAUAACAGCGUAAUUUUUUUGUAGAGUUCUUAUCAAUAAAAAAUUUUGC